rnacentral:ribozyme from 1 species
AAAUUUCGAGGAAGAAGUUUUGUUUCUGCAAAAACGGCUCUCUGUUCCUUCUCCUUCUCCUUCUCCUUCUCUUUAUUCUCAUUAUUCUUCCCCCUCCUCCUCUUCAAACCCACAAGGGGUCUUUCUUACAGGAUCAACGGGCUUCCUUGGCCUCCACAUCCUCGAGCAUCUCCUUGUGUCUUCUC